GCAAUUAAGGCCUGAUCCAAAGUCCACUGAAGUCAAUGGGAGUCUUUCCAUUGACUUGUGUGGGAUUUGUAUCAGAUCCUAACUGC
rnacentral:pre_miRNA from 1 species